rnacentral:rRNA from 1 species
UAACACGUAAACAACCUGCCUUCAGGAUGGGGACAACAGACGGAAACGACUGCUAAUACCGAAUAAGUUCCAAGAGCCGCAUGGCCCAUGGAAGAAAAGGUGGCCUCUACCUGUAAGCUAUCGCCUGAAGAGGGGUUUGCGUCUGAUUAGCUGGUUGGGGGGGUAACGGCCCACCAAGGCGACGAUCAGUAGCCGGUCUGAGAGGAUGAACGGCCACACUGGAACUGAGACACGGUCCAG